AAAUACGAAGACGCGGGACAUUUUUAGAAAAUUAAAUACAAAAGAAAGGAAGAAAAAGCAUCAAAAUCCAAAGUGAUGCAAAAAUCAAUGCGCCAAAAGUGAGAAAAGGCCCCUAAAAAGCAACUUGUUGCCAGGUUUUGCAGAGCUGCUGUGCAGCUAGUUGGAGGCAGAGGGUUAAAAUCCAGCUAGUAGUGAGUGAAAAAAAAGCUCCGUCUAUGGAAGGGCGGGCUGUGGGGAGGCCCUGACUGUAGAAAUAGCAGCAGACUUUUUCUUUUUUUUUUCCCCUCGCAGAGCUUAAGUCUCCCCCUUGCGUGUGGCUGGAGCAGAAAGAGGGGAGCAACCGAAACAGAGAGAGAAAAAGAAGAGAGAGAGAGAGAGAGAGAGAGAGGAAGAGAGGAGGAGACAGCGAGCGCACAGUGAAGGGGAGAAAAGCUCCGCUGAUGAUGAAAUAGGAGGUGCGGUGGAGCGCGCGAACCAGUCACUUUUUCAUCACAUGUCCAACACAGCAAGGAACUGUAUUUGCACUGGAGACGGGGGAGAAGGAGGGAGGGAGCAUAAGAUGGGUGGGAGACAGAGACACAGAGGGAGAGAGAGAGAGAGAGAGUGGGAGGGUGGAAAGGACUGAAUGUGGGAGGGGUGGAGGAGGAAGAAUGACACAGAAAUCCACUCCUCCAGCAGUGCGCAGACGCAGUGCACACACUCACACGCCAUACUGGGAUACACUAUACAGUACCUCAGCUACUAUAUCAAAUAGUGAAAAGAAAGGCAAGGAAAAAGAGAGAAUACACAAUCAUUCAGAGUGGACUGUCCUGCUGAAGGAUCCUUGAAAUAUGCAACACUUCUGAGAGCUGGUUGAAUUAUUAACCUUAUCUCGUACUGCAGCGGGGCUCUUGUCGCUGCAACAGUCUUGGGAGCACACUCUGAAAGAAGCACACACUCGCGGAGUGCAUUAACUCUUUAGCAUGCCACAGUGACUAGCGUGAAUGCACAGAAUAGACUGGCUGCACACAUAUACACACACUUACACACACACAUUCACACAGGAAAAAGAUAAGCUUGCAGAGUGUUUAGUUCAGUAACAUGUGGCAAAGAACGCACGGCCAGGACCCUCCUCCUUGCCUCGACUCUGUCACAAAGCAAACUGAAUGCUGAAGCUGAACCCUUGCAGCUAUUUUGGCACAAAGUCAAAAGGCUGAUAAGCAUUUUUGGGUGAGACUUUGCUGCUUUUCCUCGAGGAAAAACAGCUGCCACUUGCCCUGUGAAGCGCGUUCAACAGUUCAGUGAAAAUUUUCAAGAAACCCUCCCAGAGAUGCUGAUUUGUCCUUCCUAAAAUGGAGGAAUAAAAACAUAAAAACAAAAAACAAGAAAAUAUGAUCUAAAUAAUUUGUUCUAACUGAAUCCAUGUAGCGAUUUACACAAAGAGUAAGAAAACCAGAGAGGGAACUAGAGGGGGGAGACCUAAACAGCAUGGCUGUUUCCACCAUCUUAGACUGUAUUGAUUAUUCUUUGCUGUAACGUCUGUCUCUCUCACACACUCUAGCUCUCUUUCUCUCCCUUCUGUCCCUCCCUCCCUCUUUCUGCCUCUGUUCUGCCACCUUCUCUACUCGGCGAUCAGCAUUUGGCUUUUUCCAUUUGUGGCAGAUUACUGUAACGCUAUUGUACAACAACUUCCUGCCUCUUUUGGCUCUGGUUCUAAAAACUGCAAAGGCAGAGCUCGUGGCUUUAACUUUUUCCCCUCGGCCUUGAACUACAGGAGCUCUAUAAGGAAAUAAAAGGAGGAAGGGGAUAUGUAAAGUGUAUCUGUAACUGAGGAACUAUUUUGAUUGCAUUUCUGCUUUAUAAACUGCUGAGAAUUAAAGAGGGCAAGAGGGGACUACAUGCCUAGCAGACACAAUGAGAGAAAAAAGGAUUCUGAGAGAAGAAGAAGAAGAAGAAGAAAAGAGACACAGGGAGAAAAGGGGCAAAGGAGAGCUUCUCCUGGGAACAAGCUGGAAAUUAUGGACCUAUUCGAUAUCAGACCUCAGAGUGGACAACCUAUCCAAAGAGGGACGCGCCCUAACUGUAACUAACAACUACUUCUGGCAGCCCCUCAACAGCCAAACAUAUUGUCCUGGAUCAGGGCAGCUUGCGUAUGGCAGCAUUGAACUAGGGCAGCUAAGACAAGAAAUCCACAUCUAACUACAGUAUCAAUGAUGGCAUUAAAAUGUUGAUAGCAAUGCAUUAAAAGUAAAUUAAUGUAUUUUUCCUUUAUGUUUGAGAUAGAGAACUGGGCUCUAUGAUCCUUUCAUUUUGCUCAUCAAACUUUAAACAUGUUAAGGUGAUACAGAGUGAUUUUCAUACCUUGAGCCUGCUUAUAUAAAAAUAAGGACAAUACUUAUGGUCAGCACAGAUUUGUUUUUUUUUUUAAUCAAACAUUAUUAUGUAUUAUGUAAAUGUUCCCAGAUACUUUUAUUAGUCCUGUGAUCUUGCAAGACCAAAAUCAAACACUGGUACAACACGGCUUAUUGAUUUAAACCUACCAUCAAUGUCUGUAGAUUUUUGGUUUUUAUAUUCAGUAUUAUAGCAGAAGUGUUGUAGCAAAAGUGUGUUAUUAAUGUAUGAAAAGAAAUGAGUUAUGGUGCAGGAUCAUCUAAUGUUAUAAAUUAUAUUUUUUCCUCAUAAUAAUUAAAGAAACUCCUCUUAAUAAAGUGACUGUUUAUUAAUUGUAUUACCCAAGAUAUUAUGGUAAUUUUAAGAGACAUUUCAAUGUAAUAAAAAUCUUGUAUAAUAGA